rnacentral:lncRNA from 1 species
GCGGUCUUCCUAAGCGAAGGCGGGUGAACUGGGGUGCUGGAGUGCUAUCUGCGGGUAUUUCAGCUCCUUCCGCCGCUGUUGAGAAAGUUAAGGACUUCGAAUUAAAUAAGCAACAGUUCAUCUAGUCCUUCCAUACUGUUAGUGGGCAUGCCCGUGCUGGGUAAGCAGGCCCAGCUUCACGGAGCCGAAAGUGGACCCAGGAAUUCCAAGCGGUGUACUGCGAGCCACACCCCUGAGUCUUGUCCGUCUGCUCCCGGAGACCCGCUUUCCUACAUCUAGAAAAAGCAGGGAUCGAUGGCGAGCCAAAGACACCCCCUGCCUCAAGGACCCAGCAUUACUGAGGCUAGCACUGCAAGGAAAAAAUAUGAGAAGCUGGUGGGGACAGCAUCGCUGUGGCUACAGAGUGUCACUCACACUGUCUGGGUCAGAUUAUGGUUCACCCUACUCCAGGGCGGGAAGGACGGUCAGUCUUCAGAAAGUCAGCCUUUGAUUUCAAAAGACCACAGGCUAGAGGGAAGGCAAGCCACCAUGGCAGCCUGGAUGCAGAAGCUGUCCUGGAAUUCAUUAUGUAGUUCACCCACAGUGAUCCUCCUGCUUCAGCCUCCCACAUGCUAGGAUUACAGGCCAGCCCAGAGGCAAGGACAUGGCUCCUUUUGGAACCUAUUUCACAAGUCCCGAGGAGUAUCGACCUUUAACAGCUAGGAAUCCUUCUGUGGUCCGGCUUGAGGUGUGUCAAGAUGGAACAGAGCAAAUACCAUAAACCAACAGACUUUGCAAAUACACUGGAAGGUACAUCACUAGGCAGAUUGCAGCAAAGCAGUGGGAACCCUCUGCUGUAGACCUGAUGCUGCCUGGCCAUACUCUUAGCAUUUUGCUUAAAAGCUGGGGAUCUGUUUGUACACAUCAAAGUAUUUAACUAAUAGUAUCAAGGCUAUGGCCACAUACAGAGGAGGUGAGUAAAUGACCACGGGAGGGGACUAAAGGUAUCCCCAAAUAAGUGGGCUUUGAACUUCCAACCUCUUCACAUCACUGAGGCUCUGAUCCUCCAGUUAGCCAUUGUAGUCUCCUCUUCUUUCCAGGAAUUUUUCUUCCAAGUUCCAAGAUCCCCAGUGGAUGCAGGAAAUAGCAGACAUUGUCAAACACUCUAGAACCCAUGUUUUGUUUUGCUGGACUAGGUGUGGUGGGAGGGGAAGGGAAGAAGAAAACAGGGGAGAGGACAAAUAAAGGAAACGGGAGGAGAAAUGAAUGGAUGAGGCCUUGAGCAUCUUCCUGGACAGAUUGUGUAUCCAUUUUUAUUUCCGUGUAUUUAAGGGGGAACAUGAACAUACUGGAGGUCAGAGGACAACUUG